rnacentral:rRNA from 1 species
CCUACGGGUGGCUGCAGUGGGGAAUAUUGCGCAAUGGGCGAAAGCCUGAACCAGCCAAGUAGCGUGAAGGAUGACUGCCCUACGGGUUGUAAACUUCUUUUAUAAAGGAAUAAAGUGAGGCACGUGUGCCUUUUUGUAUGUACUUUAUGAAUAAGGAUCGGCUAACUCCGUGCCAGCAGCCGCGGUAAUACGGAGGGGCCGAGCGUUAUCCGGAUUUAUUGGGUUUAAAGGGAGCGUAGAUGGGUUGGUAAGUCAGUUGUGAAAGUUUGGGGCUCAACCGUAAGAUUGAAAUUGAUACUGGCAGUCUUGAGUACAGGUGAGGUAGGCGGAAUUCGUGGUGUAGCGGUGAAAUGCGUAGAUAUCACGAGGAACACCGAUUGCGAAGGCAGCUUACUAAACUGCCACUGACGUUGAGGCUCGAAAGUGUGGGGAGCAAACAGGAUUAGAUACCCGGGUAGUC